rnacentral:tRNA from 1 species
GCCCCCGUAGCUCAAUGGUAGAGCAGUGGCCUUUUAAGCCAUUGAUCCGGGUUCGAUUCCUGGUGGGGGCAC